rnacentral:ncRNA from 1 species
UACCCAUUCGAGGAUACGGAUUAAAAGGGAAUCGGGUGUAAAUCCCGGACAGUCCCGCUGCUGUGAAACCCCGUUUCAACAUCUCUAAACUACUUUUGCCACUGGCUUGUUAUAAAACAGCCGGGAAGGCUUCGAGAUGGGAGUAAGUCAGAAGACCUGCCAUUCAUUAA